rnacentral:rRNA from 1 species
GACGAACGCUGGCGGCGUGCUUAACACAUGCAAGUCGAACGAAGAGCGAUGGAAGCUUGCUUCUAUCAAUCUUAGUGGCGAACGGGUGGGUAACGCGUAAUCAACCUGCCCUUCAGAGGGGGACAACAGUUGGAAACGACUGCUAAUACCGCAUACGAUCUAAUCUCGGCAUCGAGGAUAGAUGAAAGGUGGCCUCUACAUGUAAGCUAUCACUGCAGGUGGGUAUUGCGUCUGAUUAGCUAGUUGGAGGGGUAAAGGCCCACCAAGGCGAUGAUCAGUAGCCGGUCUGAGAGGAUGAACGGCCACAUUGGGACUGAGACACGGCCCAGACUCCUACGGGAGGCAGCAGUGGGGAAUCGUCCGGAAUGGACGAAAGUCUGACGGAGCAACGCCGCGUGAGUGAUGACGGCCUUCGGGUUGUAAAGGUCUGUUAAUCGGGACGAAAGGCCUUCUUGCGAAUAGUGAGAAGGAUUGACGGUACCGGAAUAGAAAGCCACGGCUAACUACGUG